UUGAACGCCUCGACGGGAAGAAAGAAGAGAAAAAUAAAGAAGGAAGAAAAAUUACCUGGAGGCUGGAGCGGCGAACCCUAGCAGCAGUCUGCUCGAUGGAAGAAGAAGAAGAAAUGUCUUCGCUUUGGGUUGGGGUCUAUGUUUUGUAUAAUUAAAAAAAAAGACCCAAUCCUUUUUUUAAAUUGACCCAUUUAAAUGAAGUGCUCACUUUUUUUUCUUUGCUUCUCGAUUCAAGUAUAAACGCGCUCGCUUUUGUAAAUCCAUUCGCUUCCGGGUCAGAAAAGCGAUGUGGCGUCGCCUAGCGUCGCUCACUUUUUCAAACACUCUCUCUAAAGCAGUCUGGAUUUGCUCACGUUAAUCCUUCAACAUUUAUUUGUGCUCAUAACUGGUCCUUCUAGCCAGUGGAAUGCUAUUUCCAUCAAACAUUAUCUUGACUGGAACAUGUUUUUUAUAUGGGGACACAGAUCAUAACUCGAGGGAAGAGUAUGACCAAUCAAGAAUUAAAGCUAAAAUGAUCAAACACACAAUACAGAACCAAACUGCCUUGCGUUGCUAUUUUUCUCCUCCAAUCCUUUUUCUCAAUAAGUUAGAGGUCUCUGUCCUUCUAUUGCCUGUCAAAUUGAAGAAUGCACAGUGGAGAAACAUUCUGCUCAUUCCCCUUCUCCCCUAAAGCUUGGCAGCUUGCUAAAAGACAAUGUGUAGGGAACAGAUGGAAAAAGUUUCAAUUUAAGGAAUUUCUUGCAGGUUGCUUUUAAAACGGGUGAUUAUAAACAACAGGCCAUUUUCAUAGGUGGACUAACGGAUGGAUUUUUAGCUACUGAUUACUUAGAGCCUCUGGCUAUUGCUUUGGAUAAAGAAAAAUGCUCAUUGGUUCAGUUUCUACUUUCAUCAUCUUAUAGUGGAUAUGGAACGUCAAGCUUGAGACAAGACGCAACGUAGCUUGAUCAGUUGAUAAGUUACUUGAUAAACAAGGAAGAUUCUGAAGGGGUGGUACUACUCGGGCACAGCACUGGCUGUCAGGAUAUUGUGUAUUACAUGCGCACAAAUGCUGCAUGCUCCAGAGCAGUAUACGUGCAGCCAUAUUGCAGGUAAUACCUGCUUAAAAAUUGUAGUUUAAGUUGCCUCUUUUGGUACAAAUAAAUUCAGUACAUGCUUCCUACCAUUUUAGCUGAAUGUGCUAGCUUACUGUACCUCAAUGCUCAUGAUAGCACAUGCAAUGGAUAUGUUCCUUUGAGCUCUAAUGGUUUAUCCAAAUCUCUGUCUUUCUUUAGUGAGGA